rnacentral:lncRNA from 1 species
AGGUUCAUGCCAUUCUCCUGCCUCAGCCUCCCGAGUAGCUGGGACUACAGGCUCCCACCACCAUGCCUGGCUAAUUUUUUGUAUUUUUAGUAGAGACGGGGUUUCACCAUGUUAGCCAGGAUGGUCUCGAUCUCCUGACCUUGUGAUCUGCCCGCCUUGGCCUCCCAAAGUGCUGGGAUUACAGGCAUGAGCCACCGCGCCCAGCCACAAAUACAUUUUUUGAGACAAAGUCUCUGUCGCCCAGGUUGGAGUGCAGUAGCACGAUCUCGGCUCACUUCAACCUCUGCUUCCUGGGUUCAUGCCAUUCUUGUGCCUCAGCCUCCUGAGUAGCUGGGACUAGAGAUGCACGCCACCAUGCCCGGCUAAUUUUUGUAUUUUUAGUACAGACAGGGUUUCACCAUGUUGGCCAGGUUGGUCUCAAACUCCUGACCUCAAGUGAUCCGCCCGCCUUGGCCUCCCAGAGUGCUGGGAUUACAGGUGUGAGCCACCGCUCCGGCCCUAUUAUAAAUAAUUUCUAUUUAACAAAAAAUGGUCAACUCACAACUUAGUGGAUACAUUAAAAAGUACCACAAAUUACCGUUAAACAUUUUUCUUUUUUUUUUUUGAGACCGAGUCUCUCACUCUGUCGCCCAGGCUGGAGUGCAAUGGCAUGAUCUCGGCUCACUGCAAUCUCUGCCUCCUGGGUUCAAGCGAUUCUCGUGCCUCAGCCUCCCGAGUAGCUGGGACUACACAUGCCCGCCACCAUGCCCAGCUAAUUUUUGUAUUUUUAGUAGAGAUGUGGUUUCACCAUGUUGGCCAGGCUGGUCUCGAACUCAUGACUUCAGGUGCUCCACUUGCCUUGGCCUCCCAAAGUGCUGGGAUUACAGAUGUGAGCCACUGUGCCCAGACUCUUUUUCUUUCUUUUUUUUUUUAAUGGAUGGGAUCUUAUGAAGUCCAAUCUGAACUUGAACUCCUGGCCUCAAACAGUCCUCUUGCCUUAGCCUUCUGUGUAGCUAGGACUACAGGCAUGCACCACUGUGCCUAAUUUAAACAUUUCUUUAAAUGUUAGCUAUAGCAAACCUUAUAAAUCAAGCCUACUUCAAAUUACACAAACACAGAUCCUACAUGAAAGUCAGUAAAUCUGUGGGGAGACUUUUUUUUUUUAUUUUUAAAACAAGCAACUGGCGAUGAAUGUGUAACUUUAUUUAUACACGAAGUUGUUGGACUGUGUCCUCAUGCCUGAUUUUGUAUGGGCUGUUGCAUUUAUCCCUGGGGAACAGGUUUAGCUGAAGUCACCAACACAGAUGUACUCCACAGUGAGAAAACAAGUGUGGGAACAUGGCUCUGAAGAGUGCUUUCCACAGUGACAUACGACAGGAUAAAGUUAGUGCCUUUUAGGCUCUGCAAUUUUGAAUUCUGUGGAUAUCAUAAAAGGACACUUGGCCGUAGUGCUCCUCUGUCUUAGAAAAUCUUUUUGACACUGAUAAUGCAUAUCAGAAUGCAUGGUUAAAAGCAGAUGUUGGCCGGGCUUACGCCUGUAAUCCCAGCACUUUGGGAAGCUCAAGCAGGUGAAUCACAUGAGGUCAGGAGUUUGAGAGAAGCCUGGCCAGCAUGGUGAAACCCCAUCUCUACUAAAAAUACAAAAAUUUGCCGGGUGUGGUUGUGCAUGCCUGUAAUUCUAGCUACUCGGGAGGCUGAGGUAGGAGAAUCGCUUGAACCCGGGAGGUGGAGGGUGCAGUGAGCCAAGAUCGUACCACUGCACUCCAGCCUGGGGAACAGAGUGAGACUGUGUCUCAAAAAAAGAAAAAAAAAGGCAGAGAAGUUUUAAAAUGCUAAAUAUCAAGUUUUAGGUGCCACAGAAUAUGUUUAGCUUUACUUGACAUGGUAAAUAAUUAAUCUUAGGUAUCUGUAAAAAAUAAACUCUAAAUCCGAGGUCAUCUACUGAGAAACAGCCAGUAAGAAUCAGUCUUGCUCUGAGUUUCGAGAGUCCCUUUUAUAAAAUUCGUAUCAUAUACAACUCAUAGGAGGACACACCGACCACACACAAAGAUGAGGCCCAGCUAUCUCACUAUAUCCUCAAGGACUGAUUUCUUUACCCAUAGACAAGACUUCAAUUGCCAACAUUAAAAGACUUGAAAUUGAGAGAUACAAACAGUAGUUAUGUUUUACUGAGCUCUGCACUUUUGCUGGGAUGGAUCACAAACUGUCCACUGGCUGUUCACCAAUGGGCUUCAUUGCAUAGACUGCACUUUGGGAAAAGAAUAACAUCUGAAAUACUCUCAAAGCGGCAAAUUGGCCAGGAGUGGUGGCUCAUGCCUGUAAUCUCAGCACUUUGGAAGGUCGAAGUGGGUGGAUUACUUGAGCCCAGGAGUUUGAGACCAGCCUUGGCAACACAGUGAAACCCUGUCUCUACAAAAACAAAAAAAUUAAUAAAAUUAUCAAAAAUUUAGCCAGGUGUGGUGGUGUGCUUGCCUGUAGUCCCAGCUACUCAGGAGGUGGAGGUGGAAGAAAUGCCUGAGCCUGGGAAGUCAAGGCUGCAGUGAGCCAUGAUCAGGCCACCACACUCCAGCAAAUAACAAGAUUUGAUCAUCUUCAAAAUAUAUAUAUUUAUUUUUCUUUAGACAGUCUUGCUCUGUUGCCCAGGCUGGAGUGCAGUGGCGCAAUCUCAGCUCACUACAACCUCCGCUUCCUGGAUUCAAACGAUUCUCAGGCCUUAGCCUCCCAAGUAGCGGGGAUUACAGGCAUGUGCCACUGUGCCUGGCUAAUUGUUUUGUAUUUUUAGUAGAGACAGUUUUUGCCAUGUUGGUCUCAAAUUCCUAGCCUCAAGUGAUUGGCCCACCUCAGCCUCCCGAAUUGCUGGGAUUACAGGUGUGAGCCACCAUGCCCAGCCUUUUUUGAGACUGAGUCUCGCUCUGUCUCCCAGGCUGGAGUGCAAUUGCAGUGGCUCAAUCUCAGCUCACUGCAGCCUCUACCUCCUGGGUUCAAGCAAUUCUCCUGCCUCAGCCUCCUGAGUAGCUGGGAUUACAGGCACACACCACCAUACCCAGCUAAUUUUCGUAUUUUUAGUAGAGACGGGGUUUCACCAUGUUGGCCAGGCUGGUCUUGAACUCCUGACCUCGUGAUCCGCCCACCUCAGCCUCCCAAAGUGCUGGGACUACAGGCGUGAGCCACCGCGCCUGGCCUUUUUUGUUUUGUUUUUUUGGUUGAGACAGGGUCUUGCACUGUUG